AUUGAACGCUGGCGACAUGCCUUACACAUGCAAGUCGAACGGCAGCACGGGUGCUUGCACCUGGUGGCGAGUGGCGAACGGGUGAGUAAUACAUCGGAACAUGUCCUGUAGUGGGGAUAGCCCGGCGAAAGCCGGAUUAAUACCGCAUACGAUCUACGGAUGAAAGCGGGGGACCUUCGGGCCUCGCGCUAUAGGGUUGGCCGAUGGCUGAUUAGCUAGUUGGUGGGGUAAAGGCCUACCAAGGCGACGAUCAGUAGCUGGUCUGAGAGGACGACCAGUCACACUGGGACUGAGACACGGCCCAGACUCCUACGGGAGGCAGCAGUGGGGAAUUUUGGACAAUGGGCGAAAGCCUGAUCCAGCAAUGCCGCGUGUGUGAAGAAGGCCUUCGGGUUGUAAAGCACUUUUGUCCGGAAAGAAAUCCUUGGCCCUAAUACGGUCGGGGGAUGACGGUACCGGAAGAAUAAGCACCGGCUAACUACGUG
rnacentral:rRNA from 1 species